AUUUAUUGUACUGCGUGUGAUUUUACCUAAGGAGGUAAAAUCCUUUCAUCCUUCAGCAGAUGGCGCUGUUCGUCAAUUUACGCUAGUUCCCGAGACCUGAAACAUCUGUUUACAUUUUCAGGGAAUAGCCUACAGCAGACCAACGUGAGUGGGGAACAGAUGGACUCUAGACCUUGUUGCUCAGUGGGCGGCACUUGGCGUCUCCAAGCCGAUCCGAUGCCAAGAGACCAAGCACGCAGGCUUGGUCGAGAGGUCCUUUAAAGUUGCACGCGGGGGAUGUCUAUGUGCAGUCGGGGUCCCUGAGGUGGGCCUUUCACAGGAGUGUCAAAACUUCUAUUGUUCUUACUGCUCCAGCGUGGCAAACUGGGAGCUCUGGUUUCCGCACCCGGCGCUGUUGCAUGUCUUCAUCUUUAGCUCAUACCAAGUGGCCUCACGCAACUCGGCGAGGAAUAUGUCAGCUGAGGCAUUGGUGCGCACGCUUUGCCAAGCCCAGGUGCCUUUGGGG